UUUUUCUUAACUCACUUUUUCGCUUUAAUUUGUUAUUUAUUAGAUAUUAUUAUUCCUUUUUUUUUUUCUUCCAUAACAUUACAAAGAAUACACACAAUCAGUAGUAGUUUGAUAAGAUUUAACAAACGAAAAAUAUAUUUCUUACUAAUAUAUACAGAUGUGCCAGUGGGAUUAUACCAACGAUAUAAACAAAAUAGAUUUAAGGAUCAAAUAUUAUAAAAUAAAGGUCGGUUAGGUUUGUGUAAAUUAAAAAUAAAAUAAAAACAGAAGUACGUAGUAAUGAAAACUCUAUAUGGUAUAGAUUUGCUUAGGGGAGUGAGAGUAAUUUACAAUUCCCUAUGGUGGUGGUGGUGUGUUGUUGUUACUUAGGGAUAAGAACCAUUUUCUUUUAAAACAUAUCCGAAUCAUCAUCAUGUCCUCGUCACCUCUCUAUCCUUUUUUUUAGUCCUUACCCCUUUUUUUUAUUUUUCAUUUUUUUUUGUUAAUUGGACCGAAGUUUUUUAUGUUCCCAUCACUAAUAAUAACGACUUUUCUCCCUAAGAGAAAUAUAAAGAAAAAGUUUUAAAUCGAAAAAAAAUAACAACGUAUGUAUAUCUCUUUAUGUUAUUUUAUAGUAGUCUUCACAUUUUAUGCGUAGUAAUACCAAUAAUUACUCUAUAUCCUUAAAAACCAAGGAUCUUGUCCUUUCUUUAAACAACCUUUUCCCGAUACAGCUUUGUUCUUGAAAUAGUAUAAAAGAUAUUAUCAUAUUAUCAAAAUUCAAACGACUUAUAUAGCAUGGGAUUGCAUAAUAGUUUCUUUUUGAAAAUAAACAUUUCUUUCGAAGUUCCAAGUUUUCAUGAACAUUAAAUAACCAGAGAAAGGUCAAAAGUGUAUAAAAAAAAAACAAAAACGUGAUUAUAGUGGAUCUUACAUAGUAAAGCGUAGCAUGCGUUUAUCAAAUUUGUGGGCUUGGCCCAUUUAUAAUGGUUAAAACGAUACUAUUAACUUAUCGAAA
rnacentral:lncRNA from 1 species